CACGUAGGGCGCAAGCGUUGUCCGGAAUUAUUGGGCGUAAAGAGCUCGUAGGCGGGCUGUCACGUCUGCUGUGAAAAGCUGGGGCUUAACCCUGGCCUUGCAGUGGAUACGGGCAGACUAGAGGUAGGUAGGGGAGAAUGGAAUUCCCGGUGUAGCGGUGAAAUGCGCAGAUAUCGGGAGGAACACCGGUGGCGAAGGCGGUUCUCUGGGCCUUACCUGACGCUGAGGAGCGAAAGCGUGGGGAGCAAACAGG
rnacentral:rRNA from 1 species